rnacentral:rRNA from 1 species
CCUACGGGUGGCAGCAGUGGGGAAUAUUGGGCAAUGGGCGCAAGCCUGACCCAGCAACGCCGCGUGAAGGAAGAAGGCUUUCGGGUUGUAAACUUCUUUUCUCAGGGACGAAGCAAGUGACGGUACCUGAGGAAUAAGCCACGGCUAACUACGUGCCAGCAGCCGCGUUAAUACGUAGGUGGCAAGCGUUAUCCGGAUUUACUGGGUGUAAAGGGCGUGUAGGCGGGACUGCAAGUCAGAUGUGAAAACCACGGGCUCAACCUGUGGCCUGCAUUUGAAACUGUAGUUCUUGAGUACUGGGGAGGCAGACGGAAUUGCUAGGGUAGCUGUGAAAUGCGUAGAUAUUAGGAGGAACACCAGUGGCGAAGGCGGGCUGCUGGACAGCAACUGACGCUGAGGCGCGAAAGCGUGGGGAGCAAACAGGAUGAGAUACCCCGGUAGUC